rnacentral:lncRNA from 1 species
CUAGAGCCAACACAGAUCUAUAGAUUUCUUCGAACUCGGAAUCUCAUAGCACCAAUAUUUUUGCACAGAACUCUUACUUACAUGUCUCAUCGAAACUCCAGAACAAACAUCAAAAGGAAAACAUUUAAAGUUGAUGAUAUGUUAUCAAAAGUAGAGAAAAUGAAAGGAGAGCAAGAAUCUCAUAGGUAAGCCAUCACCAAACUCAGAAAAUGAACAAAAUUCUGUUACCCUGGAAGUCCUGCUUGUGAAAGUUUGCCACAAAAAAAGAAAAGAGUGACUCGUCCAGGAAGAAGAGAGUUUAAUGGAAUGAUUAAUGGAGAAACCAUGAAAAUAUUGAUUUAGAUGUCAAUGAAGAGCUUCCAGCCAGAAGAAAACGAAAUCGUGAGGAUGGGGAAAAGACAUUUGUUGCACAAAUGACAGUAUUUGAUAAAAACAGAUGGAAUCUCGCACUGUCUCCCAGGCUGGAGUGCAGUGGUGCGAUCUCUGCUCACUGCAACCUCUGCCUCCAGGCUUCCAGUGAUUCUCCUGCUUCAGCCUCCCGAGUAGCUGGGACUACAGGCGCACCUCACCACACCCAGCUUAUUUUUAGUAGAGACGAGGUUUCACUAUGUUGGCCAGGAUGGUCUCGAUCUCCUGACCUCGUGAUCUGCCCACCUCAGCCUCCCAAAGUGCUGGGAUAAUAUGCAUGACCCACAGUGCCCGGCCUAUGCUUUUUUUCUUUUUUUUGAGAUGGAGUCUCGCUCAGUCACCCAGGCUGGAGUACAGUGGCGCGAUCUCAGCUCACUGUAACCUCCGCCUCCCAGGCUCAAGCAAUUCUCAUGCCUCAGCCUCCUGAGUGGCUGGGAUUAUAGGUGUGUGCCACCACACCCUGCUAUUUUUUUUUUUUUUUUUUUUUUUUUUUUGAGACGGGUCUCGCCCUGUUGCCAGGCUGAAGUGCAAUGGCUCACUGCAACAUUUGCCUCCCGGGUUCAAGUGAUUCUCCUGCCUCACUCUCCCUAGUUGCUGGGAUUACAGGUGUGCGCUACCACAUCCAGCUAAUUUUUCUAUUUUUAGUAAAGAUGGGGUUUCACCAUGUUGGCCAGGGUGGUGUCUUGAUCUCCUAACCUUGUGAUCCACCCACCUCAGCCUCCCGAAGUGCUGGAAUUACAGGCGGGAGCCAUUGCGCCUGGCCUAAUAUUUGUAUUUUUAGUAAAGAUGGGGUUUUACCAGGUUGACCAGGCUGGUCUCGAACUCCUGACCACAAGUGAUCCAACCGCCUCGGCCUCCCAAAGUGCUGGGAUUACAAGCGUGAGCCACUGCGUCCAGUCUCUUGGCCUCUAAAAUUUUUUUUUUUUUUUGAAACGGUGUCUUGCUGUGUCACCCAGGCUGGAGUGCAGUGGCGUGAUCUCGGCUCACUGCAAGCUCCGCCUCCCAAGUUCAUGCCAUUCUCCUGCCUCAGCCUCCCGAGUAGCUGGGACCACAGACACCCACCACCAUGUCCAGCUAAUUUUUUGUAUUUAUAGUAGAGAUGGGGUUUCACCAUGUUAGCCAGGAUGUUCUCGAUCUCCUGACCUCGUGAUCCGCCCGCCUCAGCCUCCCAAAGUGCUGGGAUUACACGUGUGAGCCACCGUGCCUGGCCAGGCCUCUAAAUUUUUAAGAUUUACUUUUUAAUUUUGUGUGUGUGUAUAUAUAUGUGUGUGCGUGUGUGUGUGUGUGUGUGUGUUUGAGACAGAGUUUCGCUCUUGUUGCCCAGGCUGGAGUGCAAUGGCAUGAUCUCAGCUCACUGCAACCUCUGCCUCCUGGGUUCAAGCAAUUCUCCUGCCUCAGCCUCCCAAGUAGCUGGGAUUACAGGCAUAUGUGCCACCAUGCCCAGCAGAUUUUGUAUUUUUAGUAGAGAUGGGGUGUCUCCAUGUUGCUCAGGCUGGUCUCGAACUCCCGACCUCAGGUGAUCCACCUGCCUCGGCCUACCAAAGUGCUGGGAUUACAGGUGUGAGCCACUAUGCCCAGCCUAAGAUUGACUUUUGAGAGAUAUUCUACUUACCUCUACUUACCAAGAGGAAAAGAGAUAUAAACAUAUUAAAUAACAAGCAUUUUAUAUACAUUUCCCAGUUAAUCUACGUAAUAACCCUAUGAAUACAGAUGAGAAAAGUACAGCUACAGGAAAUAAAGAAGCCUUCCCACAGUAACACUGCCUAUAAAUGACGGAAUAAACUCAGGAUGUUUUGAAUUCAAAGCUUAUGUAUGCUCUAUGCACUUCACUCUGCUUCCUGAGGCAGGUGAGAUGUUUAAUAUCUACUUGCCUGAAUGUUAAUGUCUGCCCACAGAAAUAAGUCGGAGCUCUGGAGUAGAGAACACCCGAUGAUUCAGAAUCGUUCCGGAGUGCUAUAUUUCUUCGACUGCUCAGACUGUACCCCUCAAAACCAGCUGUCCACUCUUUUUCAAGGCAAAGAUAUUGAAAACUGUUAGAAUCUCUUGAGGGAUAUCUUCAAUACAGACACGUUAAAUAAAACAUGGAAAUGGGAGACUACUCUUAGGGGCCAUGGUCAAGUUCAGUAAAAUAAAAGAUUCCAUUAACAGGGUAUCAUGAUCAGUCCCACAAAUUACAAAAAAGAUUUUAGUAUAUUCCUGCAUAAUUUUGACAUAAUAAAUCAAACAAGUGUUAUCUCUUAUCUAAUAAAAUCAUGGUACAAGCAUAAUUGCUUGAACUUAUUCCAACCUGAUAAAAAUCUAAUUAAUAAAUGAGUCUACAUCUUCUAAAAAAGAAUGCAGGGGAGAGAUCAAUUUCAAAUCAUAAGACUUUUUAUUUUUUGAGACAGUCUCGCUCUGUUGCCCAGGCUGGAGUGCAGUGGUGUGAUCUCGGCUCACUGCAAGCUCCGCCUCCCAAGUUCAGCCAUUCUCCUGCUUGAGCCUCCCAAGUAGCUGGGACUACAGGUGCCCCAUGCCUGGCUAAUUUUUGGUAUUUGUAGUAGAGACAGGGUUUCACCGUGUUAGCCAGGAUGGUCUUGAUCUCCUGCACUCGUGAUCCGCCUGCCUUGGCCUCCCAAAGUGCUGGGAUUACAGGUGUGAGCCACCAUGCCCAGCCCUCAAAUCAUCAGACUUUUAAGAAAAUGUCUCUCUCCAGGUAUUUCUUUAGAGUUUGGAAAAUCAGCAUCAGCUGGGCACAGUGGCUCAUGCCUAUAAUCCCAGGACUUUGGGAGGUCAAGGCAAGAGGAUUGCUUGAGCCCAGGAAUUUGAGACCAGCCUGGGCAACAUAGCAAGACCCAGUCUCUAGAAAAAAAUAAAAAAUUAGCCAGGUGUGGUGUGCAUGCAGGUGGUCCCAGCUACUUGGGAGACUGAGGCAGAAGGAUCUAGAGGUCAGGCUGCAUGAUUGCACCACCACACACCAGCCUGGGCGACAGAGUGAGACCUUGUCUCAAAAAAACUAACUAAAUAACAUUAAAAUAUAAAAAAAAGAAAAAGGAGUAUCAGUGUCCUACAUAAUAUUUUCAAUCUUUGGUUUUCAAUGAGGCUAAAAAUCUUGUCCAGCAUUUUUUUUUUUUGGACUCUGAAGAACUGAUGAAAACAAAAAUCACAUGAGGUAAUCUGAGUAAAAGACAUGGUGCAUGUUGUUCUUAUCAAUUCAGGAUCUAUGCUUAGAAUAGCUGGUUGUCAGUGUGCUGCCCUUAGCACAGAAUACAGGUAUUCUAAUAUAUAGUUAGGCUUCAGGAGAGAAAAGGUUAGCAGCAUACCAUGAGGCACCAAUGUGGAAUGACCUAUCUGGGGGACACUCCAAGGACUCCACUCCUGUCGGCCAUCUCCUCGGGCGCAGACUCUGAACUGGUAAUCAACGUUGGGGUCUAUGUGCAAUACUAUGAAUUCAGUUUCAGAACCUACAUAUACAUCCUCAAAAUGAUUUGAAGUACAUUUACGAAACUGGAGCCUGUAAUCUUGGGCUGUAAAGUCGUCAUCCACCUAGGGAGAAAAGCUUUAUGUUAGGUAAAAAACAGAAAAUGACUUCUCUCAGCAUUCCUGCUUAAAAAUUUUGAACGGAGCCGUUUUGGACCAAGCAGACAGGCCCACAUGCUGAAUAUGGGGUAUUCUUGGGAAGGCCAUAGAAAAUAUGCCAUCACAUCAUUAUCUCCCUUCUUUUUUUUUUGAGACAGGGUCUCACUUUGUCACCCAGGCUGUAGUGCAGUGGCGUGAUCUCGGCUUAUUGCAGCCUCCACAUCCCGGGUUCAAGCCAUCCUCUUCCUUCCACCCCACAAGUAGCUGGGAUUUCAGGUGCACACCACCAUGUCCGGCUAAUUUUUUGUAUUUUUUGUAGAGACUGGGUUUCACCAUAUCUCAGAUCUUUAACUCCUGAGCUCAAGCAAUCUUCUCAUCUCAGCCUCUCAAAGUGCUAGGACUAUAGGCGUGAGACACUGCGCCUGGGCUCCCUUCUUUUCUUUAUUGAACCAUGUGUUCUGUAUUUCCCAGUCUGAUAUAAAAAAGUCUGCCUCCUUUGAAGAAAUGGCAUGUUUUUUAAUCAAUGCCAAAGAUAAAACAUUCAAGAUUCAGUAAGUUUCCCACAACCAUACACCAUUCAUAAUAACCAAGAGAUAAUUAACAUACAGUAUACAGAACCCCCAUUAAUUUUUAGGGGUCCUGCAUAUAUUCUGUAUGUUAAUUAGCCACCCAAUAGAAAAAUGGGUAAAAGACAUAAAUAAGCGUUCUACAGGAGAAGAAACAUAAAUAGCCAAAAAUAUAUAUUAUAAAUAUUCAACCUAAUUUGUACCUAAUUUGUAAUAUGGCAAAUACAAUCUAAAACCACAACAAGGCCAGACAUGAUGGCUCAUGCCUAUAAUCCUAACACUUUGAGAGGCCGAAGCGGGUGGAGCACUUGAGCCCAGGAAUUUGAGGCCAGCCUAGGCAACAUGGCAAAACCCCAUCUCUACAAAAAAUUACAAAACUUAGCUGGCUGUGGAAGCACAUGCCUGAAGUCCCAAUUACUUGGGGGCUGAGGCGGGAGGAUCACUUGAGCCCAGGAGAUUGAGACUAGAGUGAGACAUGAUUGUGCCACUGUACUCCAGCCUGGGUGACAGAGUGAGACCCUGUCUCAAAAACAAACAAAUAAAACCACAACAAGGUACAUUUAGGCAAAAAUAUGAAGUCUCACAAUGCCAAUUAUUGGUCAAGAUAUGGAAUAACAGAAACUCAUAUACUCCUUGGAAGGCUAAAUUGAUAGAAUCAUCUUGUGGAAAGUUUGUUAUUACCUAUCAGCGUAUGGAUCCAAUACUCUAAGAAGACCUCAUAAUUUUACAGCUAGGUAAAUAUUAAUAUUUUACAAACUUCACAUAUGUCCAUAAAGAAACACAAGUAAAAAUACUUAUAGCAAAAAACUGGAAAUAACUAGGUCCACUGAUAGGAAAAAUAAUAAAAAUGGAAUGACAGUCCUGUUACGAAAUAACAACAGCAUGUUUAUAAAAAAAGAAAAAAAAAAUUUCCUUUUAAUAAAAUCUCAGCUGGGCACAGUGGCUCACACCUGUAAUCCCAGCACUUUGGGAGGCCGAGGUGGGCAGAUCACCUGAGGUCGGGAGUUUGAGACCAACCUGACCAACAUGGAGAAACUCUGUCUCUACUAAAAAUACAAAAAUACUAAAAAAUACAAACUUAGCCAGGUGUGGUGGCACAUGCCUUAAUCCCAGCUACUUGGGAGGCUGAGGCAGGUGGAUUGCUUGAACCCGGGAGACGGAGGUUGUGGUGAGCCAAGAUCGUGCCAUUGCACUCCAGCCUGAGCAACAAGAACGAAACUCCGUCUCAAAAAAAAAAAAAAAAGAAAAUGUCAGCCAGGCGGAGUGGCUCACACCUGUAAUCCCAGCACUUUGGGAGGCCAAGGUGGGCAGAUCACCUGAGGUCGGAGGUUGCAUCGCUGCACUCCAGCCUGGGCGACACAGCAAGGCUUCAUUUAAAAAAAAAAAAAGGCCAGGCACGGUGGCUCACACCUAUAAUCCCAGCACUUUGGGUGGCCGAGGCGAGUGGGUCACCUGAGGUCAGGAGUUCAAGAACAGCCUGGCCAACAUGGUGAAACCUCGUCUCUACAAAAAAUACAAAAAUUAGGCAGGUUUGAUGGCAGGUGCCUAUAAUCCCAGCUACUCAGGAGGCUGAAGCAGGAGAAUGGCUUGAAACCGGGGGAAGCGGCAGGCGGGGGAGGGCAUGGAGGUUGCAGUAAGCCGAGAUCACGCCACUUCACUCCAGCCUCGGCGAAAGAGCAAAACUCUGUCUCAAAAAAUAAAUAAAUAAAAUAAAAAUAAAACUGGAAGAG